GCCGGAGUGGCGGAACUGGCAGACGCACAGGACUUAAAAUCCUGCGGUUUUUAAGAAAACCGUACCGGUUCGAUUCCGGUCUCCGGCACCA
rnacentral:tRNA from 1 species